GUGAGGAAUAUUGGUCAAUGGGCGGAAGCCUGAACCAGCCAUCCCGCGUGGAGGAAGACGGCCCUAUGGGUUGUAAACUUCUUUUCAAGGGGAAGAAAGUUCGCGACGUGUCGCGAUUUGCCGGUACCUUUGGAAUAAGCAUCGGCUAACUCCGUGCCAGCAGCCGCGGUAAUACGGAGGAUGCGAGCGUUAUCCGGAUUUAUUGGGUUUAAAGGGUGCGUAGGCCGAUCGAUAAGUCAGAGGUGAAAUACCAUGGCCCAACCAUGGAACUGCCGUUGAUACUGUCGGUCUUGAAUAUGGUCAAGGUAGGCGGAAUGUGUAAUGUAGCGGUGAAAUGCUUAGAUAUUACACAGAACACCGAUUGCGAAGGCAGCUUACUGGUCCAUUAUUGACGCUGAGGCACGAAAGCGUGGGGAUCGAACAGGAUUAGAAACCCGAGUAGUCC
rnacentral:rRNA from 1 species